CAUCAGCCAUCUCUCC
rnacentral:tRNA from 1 species